rnacentral:rRNA from 1 species
ACUCAAAUGAAUUGACGGGGGCCCGCACAAGCGGUGGAGCAUGUGGUUUAAUUCGAAGCAACGCGAAGAACCUUACCAAGGCUUGACAUGGAGACGACAGUCAUAGAGAUAUGAACUCCUUUCGAGGCGUCUCACACAGGUGGUGCAUGGUUGUCGUCAGCUCGUGUCGUGAGAUGUUGGGUUAAGUCCCGCAACGAGCGCAACCCUUAUGUUUAGUAGCCAUCGGGUAAUGCCGGGCACACUAGAGAGACUGCCGUGGAUAACACGGAGGAAGGUGGGGACGACGUCAAAUCAUCAUGCCCCUUAUGUCUUGGGCUACACACGUGCUACAAUGGUUGAUACAAAGUGAUGCGAACCCGCGAGGGCAAGCCAACCACAAAAAAGCAACCCCAGUUCGGAUUGCAGGCUGCAACCCGCCUGCAUGAAGUUGGAAUCGCUAGUAAUCGCGAAUCAGCAUGUCGCGGUGAAUACGUUCCCGGGCCUUGCACACACCGCCCGU